CCCUUAGUCAGUGCAAAAAUAAUCAAGAACAGCAAUUUUAGAGCCAGCUCUGACAGAACAACAACAAGCUAUAACAAGUGGAAUGUAGAGCAGAAU
rnacentral:lncRNA from 1 species